rnacentral:misc_RNA from 1 species
AGAACAGCUACGACAAAAGGGAACGCACCAUCUCCGCUGCGUGGGCCCUUUACUCCAUCUCAUUGAAUGAGAAGUAGGGCGAGCGCGAGAGCGUCAUCAUGUCCCUUACUUUGACUGGAGAAAAUUCAUGGGACUCCUCUGUGGGGCGCGAAUGCUCCGAGCUUGCGGAUGAGCUGAAAGAGAAGGGCGUGCCCCUUCUUCGCGUGACACGCAACUACAAUGUAAAGAAAGUGCUCAUAUCCUUCUCUCCUGUGGGCGACGGUCUUCAGUGCCAGCCGGCGUCGGAGCAUCACAGCUCUCUUCUUUUUGCUGACAUGUGGGCUAUUCGCUCCCUACCGCCUUCCGACAAAAUCUGCAGCAAGGCAGGCCUCACGCACUUUCAGUACUGCUUUCAGGUGGAGUCCCAGUUUGGCUGGUCGUGGAAUCUCGUAUGCAACACGGCGCUGGAGCGCAGCACCUGGGUUGACUUUCUAGAGCAGCGUCGCCGCACCUUUCUGGACAAGAGCCGCGCCAAUGCGGCAAAUGCGUCCGUCGAGCGAUACUGGUUCAUCGCGGCGCAGCAGGGAAAGACGAAGCUCUCCUUUAACGAGAUAUCGAUGCUCGCCAAUAAGCUGUUUGGUCGAGUGCCCCCUGCGGAGUUUGCCGACCGCUUUCGCCAGUGCGACAGUGACAAAGACACGUGCCUCAACUACCAAGAGUUUUGUGAGUUCUUCCACUACUUCAACGAGGCCAAGGCAGUGCGCAGUAUCUACGAGAGGCAGACAUCAGACGGCACACCUGGCAUGACGGCAGAGGAGUUCACCCGCUUCUGCAUCGCAAACGAUGCGGUGGCCAACGUAACGCCGAUGCGUUGUGCGUCCCUAUUCCACCUCUUUGCAAACCGGCAGUCGGACCGAAUGGCUUUGAACGGCUUUACCGCCUUUCUGCUGCACCCGCACCACAACACCAUCGUAGACGCGCGUCAACUUCGCUUGACAGACUCGAUGGACCACCUCCUUCCACACUACUUCAUCAACAGCUCUCACAACACCUAUCUCAGCGGCAAUCAGCUGAAUUCUGAGAGCUCCUGCAAUAUGUAUCGCGACGUGCUGUUGGCCGGUUGCCGCUGUGUUGAGAUCGAUUGCUGGGAUGGCCCCGCUGGCGUGCCCGUUGUGUAUCAUGGUCGCACCAUGACCACCAAAAUCGCCUUCGACGACGUGGUUCGCACCAUCAACGACUACGCGUUUCAAAACCCUAGCGACAAUCACGAAGCCGCCUGGAACCCUCGCGAAUUCCCCGUGAUUGUCUCCCUCGAAGUGCACACGAGCCCAGAACAAACAAACCGGAUGGCAGAGAUUAUCCGCAGUGUGUUCAAGGAGCGCCUCUUUCUCUCCCGCCUCGAUGCGUCCUCGUACACACCGGCAAAGCUGAAAGGUAAGAUCCUCGUAAAAUGGAAGAUGAAUGCCGCCGGUGUGGAGGAUCUGAAGGAUACGGCGGGUAGCGGCAUUCGGGCAGACCGUCGGGCACCUCUGCUCACCACGCUGAAGCUCUCGGCAUGCGCCUCGAUCGGAACCGUCCGAUCAACGUCAUGGGGCGCCGAGGAGCAACCCUUCAACGUUCAAAGUUACGUGGAAGGGGAGGUAGCUCGGCUAGAGGCGUGCUCCCCGGUGGACUUUGCGCGCCAGAACACACGCAUGCUCUCCCGCAUCUACCCCGCGGGUACUCGCAUCGACUCUUCCAACUACGAUCCCAUGCUCAUGUGGCGCCUCGGCUGUCAGAUGGUAGCGCUCAAUUGGCAGACGCGAGAUCACAACUUUCGCGUUAACGAGGGCUUUUUCACGCAUCAAAACGGUGGGUGCGGCUACGUUCUCAAGCCUAUGCACCUGCGCGAUGUCGGCGGGGGGUGCAGCGCCAUCCCUUUCACCCUUGCUCUGCGACUCAUCUGCGGCUCACAUCUCGGCACCACGUUCGACGGUGCCGACGUCACCCACGUGUCCUUGCGGGUGUGGGUUCACGGCGAAGCGUGGUCGCAUGAAACCAUUGCCGUGCCAACUACAAUCUACCCCGAGUGGAACGAAAGAAUGGAGCUGCAGGGAAGGUGCAAGGAAACCGCAGUGCUCUGCCUUUGUGUUGUGGCACACACCCGCAGUGGUACCACGCAUGAUGUAUGCACAGCAUGUAUUCCGGUUCGUGUUUUGCGAACUGGGUAUCAUGCUAUGCCGCUCCGACACGCCAAAAGUGGACACACGGCCGAGGUCGCAUCUGUUUUGUGUCACCUUUCCUUCAAGACUCCAGCGCUGUUCUCUUGAUGAUUGUCAUACAAACAAGCAGCUGCUCCAUAUUCUUAGUCACUCGGCCUCUCCGGGACCGCGCAGGGCGUACGUGCUGCAAUCAGAUGCUCAGCGCAGCUGUACCACGUCGACGUACUCACAUCUGCCACAAUUCUUGCUGCUUGCUUCACACUCGUCUUGUGACAUUCACUGCAACGCAAAAC